GACGAACGCUGGCGGCGUGCUUAACACAUGCAAGUCAAGGGGCCCAGCAAUGGGCAACCGGCGAACGGGUGCGUAACACGUGAGCAACCUACCGAAAUGUGGGGAUAGCCGGCCUAACGGCCGAGUAAUACCGCAUACGCUCUCGAUGAGGCAUUUCAUUGAGAGGAAACCUACGGGACAUUUCGAGGGGCUCGCGGCCUAUCAGCUAGUUGGAGAGGUAACGGCUCACCAAGGCAACGACGGGUAGCUGGUCUGAGAGGAUGGCCAGCCACAUUGGGACUGAGAUACAGCCCAGACUCCUACGGGAGCAGCAGUGGGGAAUCUUGCGCAAUGGCCUAACGGCUGACGCAGCGACGCCGCGUGUAGGAUGAAGCUCUUCGGAGUGUAAGCUACUGUUGCCCGGGACGAACAGCUCGAUUAAUCGAGCCUGACGGUACCGGUGAGGAAGCACCGGCU
rnacentral:rRNA from 1 species